rnacentral:rRNA from 1 species
GUACACUCCUACGGGAGGCAGCAGUGGGGAAUUUUGGACAAUGGGCGAAAGCCUGAUCCAGCAAUGCCGCGUGAGUGAAGAAGGCCUUCGGGUUGUAAAGCUCUUUUGUCAGGGAAGAAACGGUGAGAGCUAAUAUCUUUUGCUAAUGACGGUACCUGAAGAAUAAGCACCGGCUAACUACGUGCCAGCAGCCGCGGUAAUACGUAGGGUGCAAGCGUUAAUCGGAAUUACUGGGCGUAAAGCGUGCGCAGGCGGUUUUGUAAGUCUGAUGUGAAAUCCCCGGGCUCAACCUGGGAAUUGCAUUGGAGACUGCAAGGCUAGAAUCUGGCAGAGGGGGGUAGAAUUCCACGUGUAGCAGUGAAAUGCGUAGAUAUGUGGAGGAACACCGAUGGCGAAGGCAGCCCCCUGGGUCAAGAUUGACGCUCAUGCACGAAAGCGUGGGGAGCAAACAGGAUUAGAAACCCGAGUAGUCCCAUG